CAUCUUAGGUCCAGUGCUCUUCAACAUCUUCAUAAAUGACUUGGACACAGGACUCAAAGGAAUACUAAGUAAAUUUGCCGACAACACUAAAUUGGGAGGAGCUGUCGACUCCCUCAAAGGCAGAGAGGCCCUGCAGAGAGACCUUGACAAAUUAGACAGAUGGGCAAGCACCAAUUGUAUGAAGCUUAACAAGGGUAAGCUUCUGGGACAGGGCAACCCUGGUUGUGUGUAUAGACUAGGGAACCAGAGGCUGGAGAGCAGUACUGUGGAAAAGGACCUGGGGGUCUUGGUUGAUGGCAAGAACAUCAACACUG